GCAGUGAGGAAAGCAGGAGGGGAGGAAUGAGAGAGGGCAGUGAGGAAAGCAGGAGGGGAGGAAUGAGAGGGGCCAGUGAGGAAAGCAGGAGGGGAGGAAUGAGAGAGGGCAGUGAGGAAAGCAGGAGGGGAGGAAUGAGAGAGGGCAAGGAGGAAUGAGAGAGGGCAGUGAGGAAAGCAGGAGGAUGAGGAAGGAGACAAUCAACGUUAAGAGCAUUGGGACAAAGUCCUACAUUUGUGUUAAUAGACGAGCCUGGUUUGUUGUUGUUGAUGAUGAUGAUGUGCCUUUUUUACCUUCUCUGGCAUCACAGAGUGUGUUUUUUAAAUUUUAUUUUUGUAAAUGAAGAUUCAUGUUCACGUGGUUGGUUUUGUGUUUGUCUCUGUAAUCAGUUUCUUAACUCUUGCGAGAAUAAGUGCCUGCCUAUUUUGGUUGUGAUGUAAACUCUUCGCUGUGUUCAGCUGAUCCGAGGAUCUUCCAUGUUUAAUAGUUAGUGCUCCUGAAUUCUUCUCCGUUCUGUUGGUCAAACUGUUUUUAUUAUAUAUAUUGUAUCCCGGUGACAUCACAAACUGGCAUAA